AGCUAAGUUGCAAGCCCCGUGUCUAAAGGUGGAAGCGGUCACCUCCCCAGCUAGGCUUAGGGAUUCUUAGUCAGCCUAGGAAAUCCAGCUAGUCCUGUCUCUCACUCCUGACUUGGCCUCCCAAAGAGCUGGGAUUAUAGGCAUGAGCCACUGUGGCUGGCCUGACUUUAAACAAAUAUGUUAUAUGUGGUUUGAACUGGAUAUGUUAUAUUAAGCAAGACCAGUCAUAGGGCAAAUCUCUUAUGAGGAUUCCUUGCCUUCCUUCUGUGUGACCCUCUCUACCUUUUAUUUAGGUGGCAGUCAAAGCGGCCAUUCCCCCAGACACCAGAAGUUUGGAAGCAACUAAAAAAUAAGAUGCAGGAAACAGGCGAACACUUAAAUGUCAACUUUAUGGCAGAUCAAAGCUGGAUUGGGGGACACGGUGCAAAUGAGCAGCCUCCAUGAACUUCCUAUCCCAUUCCUGUCACAGCAAAUGUAGACAGACUAUUCAACCAGUCACAGGAGCGCUGCCCUGUCUGAGCAGCCCAGAAUCUACUCUCAGGUAAAAUAUUGGGUGGAGAAAAUAUUACCGGAUGGGAACCAUUCUUCUUGCCGGGAGAGUCAGGCCAGAGAGACUCCAGGAAUGUGGCUCCAAUAGAGACCCCUCCACAGGGAAGCAAGAAGUAGGGGAUGGAGUUUCCAUUUCACAACCCAUAUCCACCCUGUGGGCACUCGCAUUGUUAUUGCUUUCUGAAAUAAAGAACUACCUCACAUCUGCGUAGAAAUCAA
rnacentral:lncRNA from 1 species